AUGCACCAAAUAUCCGAAAAGCCACACAAGAUAAUGGAUGUCAACACUGACAAGGUGACGAGGGGUGGGGUUCCCAUUCCACCAGAUCAAGGAGAGGCGUCUGACAAGCCGGUUGUUCCCUUACUAGACGCACCUACUAGCACCCGCAGCAAUUCAAUGGCACAUGUUGAGAUGGAGGAUCCAGAGGCUGCCCCAAACGACGAAGCUGCAAAUGAAGCACAUGGCAACAAGAUGAAUGUGGGAGUGUCGUUCUUUCGCUCCCCUGUGCGUUUCCUUGUGAACUUUUUAGUGAAAAAAAUGUUCGCCCAAAAACUUCCAAUCGAGGAAGGAUGGUUAGUGGCCCAAUAA
rnacentral:rRNA from 1 species